GACGAACGCUGGCGGCGUGCUUAACACAUGCAAGUCGAACGGAAAGGCCCUGCUUGCAGGGUAUUCGAGUGGCGAACGGGUGAGUAACACGUGGGUGAUCUGCCCUGCACUUCGUGAUAAGCCUGGGAAACUGGGUCUAAUACCGGAUAGGAGCCAUUUUUAGUGUGUUGGUUGGAAAGUUUUUUCGGUGUAGGAUGAGCUCGCGGCCUAUCAGCUUGUUGGUGGGGUAAUGGCCUACCAAGGCGGCGACGGGUAGCCGGCCUGAGAGGGUGGACGGCCACAUUGGGACUGAGAUACGGCCCAGACUCCUACGGGAGGCAGCAGUGGGGAAUAUUGCACAAUGGGCGCAAGCCGGAUGCAGCGACGCCGCGUGGGGGAUGACGGCCUUCGGGUUGUAAACUCCUUUCGCUAGGGACGAAGCUUUUUGUGACGGUACCUAGAUAAGAAGCACCGGCUAACUACGUG
rnacentral:rRNA from 1 species